rnacentral:rRNA from 1 species
AGUGGCAGACGGGUGAGUAACACGUGGGAACAUACCCUUCGGUUCGGAACAACUCAGGGAAACUUGAGCUAAUACCGGAUACGCCCUUCGGGGGAAAGAUUUAUCGCUGAAGGAUUGGCCCGCGUCUGAUUAGCUAGUUGGUGAGGUAAUGGCUCACCAAGGCGACGAUCAGUAGCUGGUCUGAGAGGAUGAUCAGCCACACUGGGACUGAGACACGGCCCAGACUCCUACGGGAGGCAGCAGUGGGGAAUAUUGGACAAUGGGCGCAAGCCUGAUCCAGCCAUGCCGCGUGAGUGAUGAAGGCCUUAGGGUUGUAAAGCUCUUUCGACGGGGACGAUAAUGACGGUACCCGUAGAAGAAGCCCCGGCUAACUUCGUGCCAGCAGCCGCGGUAAUACGAAGGGGGCUAGCGUUGCUCGGAAUCACUGGGCGUAAAGGGCGCGUAGGCGGCCAUUCAAGUCAGGGGUGAAAGCCUGGAGCUCAACUCCAGAAUUGCCUUUGAUACUGUUUGGCUUGAGACCGGAAGAGGUAAGUGGAACUGCGAGUGUAGAGGUGAAAUUCGUAGAUAUUCGCAAGAACACCAGUGGCGAAGGCGGCUUACUGGUCCGGUUCUGACGCUGAGGCGCGAAAGCGUGGGGAG